CUUUGGCACUAUAGGCAGUGCAUCAGUCUCACAAACUGAAGGUCCUGAGUUCGAUCCUCAGAAG
rfam:Monodelphis domestica chromosome 4, whole genome shotgun sequence.